UGGGCAUUAUCACAAUCACUA
rnacentral:siRNA from 1 species